rnacentral:ncRNA from 19 species
UUAUCUUUGCGGCCGAUUGGUUCUGUGUAGCCGUUCGGCUUCAUGGAUUAAAAGGGAAUCGGGUGAAAGUCCCGAACAGUCCCGCUGCUGUGAAACUCUUUUUGUAACGCUUUGACAAAUACUUAUGCCACUGGGUAAAACCGGAAAGGGGUCAAAGGCGAGAGUCAGUCAGAAGACCUGCCAUCAUUUAAGAUAAAUCG